GAUGAAGAACGUAGUGAAAUGCGAUAAGUAAUGUGAAUUGCAGAAUUCAGUGAAUCAUCGAAUCUUUGAACGCACCUUGCGCUCUUUGGUAUUCCGAAGAGCAUGCCUGUUUGAGUGUCAUGAAAAUAUCAACCUUGACUUGGGUUUUGUGCUCUAGUCUCGGCUUGGAAUUGGGUGCUUGCCGCUUUUACGAGCGGCUCACCUUAAAUGUAUUAGCUGGAUCUGUCUUUGAGACUUGGUUUGACUUGGCGUAAUAAGUAUUUCGCUAAGGACAUUCUUCGGAGUGACCUCGUUUCUAGGACGCUUGUCCGCUUUCCAAUACAAGUUCCACCUCGUGGACAUGACUUUUUAUUAUCUGGCCUCAAAUCAGGUAGGACUACCCGCUGAACUUAAGCAUAUCAAUAAGCGGAGGA
rnacentral:misc_RNA from 1 species